rnacentral:rRNA from 1 species
GCCCUUACUCCUACGGGAGGCAGCAGUAGGGAAUCUUCCACAAUGGACGAAAGUCUGAUGGAGCAACGCCGCGUGAGCGAAGAAGGUUUUCGGAUCGUAAAGCUCUGUUGCUGGAGAAGAACGAGUGCGAGAGGAAAUGCUCGUACUGUGACGGUAUCCAGCCAGAAAGCCACGGCUAACUACGUGCCAGCAGCCGCGGUAAUACGUAGGUGGCAAGCGUUGUCCGGAAUUAUUGGGCGUAAAGCGCGCGCAGGCGGCUUCUUAAGUCUGAUGUGAAAUCUUGCGGCUCAACCGCAAACGGUCAUUGGAAACUGGGAAGCUUGAGUGCAGAAGAGGAGAGUAGAAUUCCACGUGUAGCGGUGAAAUGCGUAGAUAUGUGGAGGAAUACCAGUGGCGAAGGCGGCUCUCUGGUCUGUAACUGACGCUGAGGCGCGAAAGCGUGGGGAGCAAACAGGAUUAGAUACCCUGGUAGUCCACGCCGUAAACGAUGAAUGCUAGGUGUUAGGGGGUCCAACCCUUAGUGCUGAAGUUAACACAUUAAGCAUUCCGCCUGGGGAGUACGACCGCAAGGUUGAAACUCAAAGGAAUUGACGGGGGCCCGCACAAGCAGUGGAGCAUGUGGUUUAAUUCGAAGCAACGCGAAGAACCUUACCAGGUCUUGACAUCCUCUGACAAGCCUAGAGAUAGGCCGUUCCCCUUCGGGGGACAGAGUGACAGGUGGUGCAUGGGUGUCGUCAGCUCGUGUCGUGAGAUGUUGGGUUAAGUCCCGCAACGAGCGCAACCCUUGAUCUUA